CCAAGCAUAUCAUUUAGCAGCAAAUGGGAAUUGAGUUGCCAUGUUUGUGGAUUAGUUUGCUAGCAGUUCUUUCAUUAAUAAAAGCCAGUUCACAUUGAAGUAAAUAUUUUAUUAUAUAGGUACAUGCUAGCACAAAUACUAAAAUAUUAUAUAUUUAUAUAUAAUAAAAUAAAUUGUAUUAGAUUAAUACUUCAUAAAAUAUAAAAAUUUAAGUAAAUAAAUAAAAAUAACAAUAUGUAUAAGUUGUAACAUAUAAUUAAUCAUUAUGGAAGACUGGAAUACAAUAUUAAUAGAAAAAAAAAAAAAAACAUUAUGGGAAAUAAGGACUUGGAAAAAUAAAUGAUUGUGGUAAUAAGUUGGUUGAAUUUUGUGAAAAACAUGACCUGAUAAUAAUGAAUAUAUGCUUUUAUCAUCAUCCAAGGAGAAGGUAUACAUGGAAACUGCCAUAUGUGGGAAGGUACCAAAUAGAUUUCGUUAUGGUGAAAAAUAGAUUCAAAAACCAAGUCAAAGAUAGUCCGAGUUAUCCUGGUAUGGAUAUAGACAGUGACCACAAUUUAGUCAUGAUGAAAUGUAAUCUUAAAUUCAAAAACAUUAAAAGAAGAAAAAACACCAAUGGAUGGCAAACCAAUAAAUUAAAGGAAGAAAAAGUAAAUUAAAAGUUGAAAGAACACAUAAAUAAAAUAAAAAUACAAGAAGAAGAGGACAUUAACAUCAGAUGGAUUUACCUGAGAAAAUCAAUAACAAAUGCAGCAAAUGAAACAAUGAUAGAAACAAAAGGCACACUACCAAGGAAUGGAUAACGCCAGAGAUUAUUGAAAUGAUAGAAGAGAGAAGAAAAUAUAAAAACUCAAAUAUUGUUGAAUAUCAAAUAUUUUUCGAUUUUCCAAGGAGUUUUCUCAACAAAUGUGAAAAACCGGGAAAAAGUAAGAAAAACGGGAAAAUCGGUACAACAUUAAACAAAUAUUAAAGAAAAUAUAUCAUGCCUAAUUAAAUUUUUACCAAUAAAAAUAUUACAUACAUAUAUUGUUAAAGUAUCACCAUCAACUGAACUUCGCUGAGAAUCGCUUUUUCGUUAGCAAUGGAAUUCCCUUCUGUAUCCUACCUUCCCAACUUCCCACCUACAACAGUGGCUGUACUCGUUCUCAUUAUCCUAGUAUAGCUUUUUUCAUUAUUGAAACAAUAUUACAUUACAUUAUAUUUUUAUAUCUAGGUACCUCCUUUAAAUGGAGUUUGUGUUGGAAGCAGAGAGUUACAAAUUAUAGAUUUAAAUCAAAUAUUACAAAUUAUAAACUAUACAAUAUAUAUAGAUAUAGUGCAACAGAAGCUAAAAUAAAUACUUUUUCGUACUGCAUACUUCAUAUCAAACCAUACUAUAUCACAGGUAUCAUCAUCCUACUUUUCCCACAAUGGAAUCCUUUCAGUUUUUGAUGGGGAGCAGGGAUAUUUGAUCAGCUUAUCAAUGAAAUAAUAGCCAACCAAUUUUUUUUUUAUUAAAAAAAAAGACUGAAUUUAAAAUGAAUAUAGUAGGUACUUAUCUAUUUUAAAAACGUUAUUUUAGAUUUCAUAAAAUCGAAACUAAAUUAUUAAAUUAGUUUUUGUUUUUUCCAUAAAUUAACUCAAAACAAUUUAAAAAAUACAUAACUAAUACAAU